UACAGCAAAGUUCCACAAAUAACAAUGGGAUGACUGGCCGUUGGUGUGGUUACAGUGCAGUGCUGAGUGCUGCACUGUCUUUCAGGUAAUAUGUUAAACCCAGAUCCCAUUUCUUGGCUCGAGUGGAUGUAAAAGAUCAUGUGGCAUUAUUUCAAAGAAGAGCAGGGGAGUUAUCCUCGCUGUCCUGGUCAAUAUUUAUCCCUCAAUCCCUGGUCAUUAUCAUCUGCCGUGUGCACAUUGACUGCUGCAUUUCCUACAUUACAACAAACAAAAGUCCCAAGAUGCACCAGGUCUGAUGGCAGAGAUGAGCAGUUCAGAGAUUCAGUGGAAGGCACACUUCAACAAGCUUAAGAGUGCACAGCACCAAGCAGAGGAAUAACUUUGGGAGAGACCAAUGUCCACAAGAUCCUUCAUGAAUGGAACAGAAAACAAUGAAAGCCAGUGGCCCUUCAAGACCGAUGCACACUGGAGAUGGUGAUCAUGUUCUCUGUUACUUGUACUUCGUCAAUCUCAAAUAAAAAAAUUCACUUAUCCAGCACAUUGUGAAGCCGGCUAUCUGAAAAUUUUACGGGGAAGAGGAAUGACCAGAUUGCCAGAAACAAUGCACUAUCAACCGAUCCAUGAGGUCUCAAGCUGUAAUGUGCUGUACUGUCCUUCCUUCCUCUACACUCAAGUCAUCCUUGUCAGAUGUCAGUACUUGCUGUUGCUCUGCCAUCUCAGGUGUGAUCUCUGGUUUGCCAAGUUGUGCAACAUGCAGCACACUGCAAUGACGCAGGACACUUUCGCUGGGAUAUUUUAUACAGAAGCCCCAGGAACCUGAACCUUUGCU